ACUAUUAAAUGGGAGUUGGUCGUUUGACACUCAACGCACUUUGGUGGUCGUCAUUGAAAAGAUCCUGGCCGUUCAAUCUAAGUCAAAGUCUCCGCUUAAAAUUCAUCCGUUCGAUCAACUUUCCACUGUAAGUUGCCCCUCUUUCCCUUUGUUGCCGCUAAUCAAGAUAUAAAUAAUCAAUGCAAAUUAAGUAGGAGAUAUAUUGUCAGAAAAAGAGAGAUUAUAAUCUGAUGAAAAGCUAUCCAUCAAUCACGGAAUACCAUCAAUUAUGCGAAUAUUAAUCGCAACAAAUCAUUUGGAAAGAAAUCACAAAUAAUAACGACAAUAACAUGGAAAGCUAUUCUCUCUUGGGCUGCUACGUACUUCCUUGUAAACGCUAAUCGAGCACCAAAUCGGAUCUCACCAGAAAAAUCCACCAAAUCAUCACACGUCUGGCCCAAUGCAUCAACGAACAUUAUGAUCUUCACCAUCGGCCGCCCGAAUAGUGGAUAGCCCCGCCGCCUCCUGCUGCUUCCCGACGGGAACUUCCCGUCCGUCCAGGAGCUCUUCGUCUCUCUCAACCUCCUCUUCCUCUCCAUCUUCCGCUAACUCUAUGCUGGUAAUAACAUGCACUCUGGCCAUGCCACCGAUGCAGGAUCACCUCCAACUUCCCCUACACGGGGGUGGCGACCGACGAGGAUGACGUACGACAGUGAUGAGGAGGGAUGUAGGAUCAAGCUGCCGUCGAUGCUUACCUCCUCCUCCUGGGCGCAGCAGCUCCGGAACCUCGAUCUGGCACGUAGCCACGGUCGCCGAAAUCGGACAGGUCGGUAGAGGUCUGGAUACCCCAACAAUACAUGUCAUAAUGUAGAUUGGAUCACCUCCAUCGGUCAUUUAUCUCGCAGGGUAUUGUAAUCAAUAUCAUCAUGUAGCCAAAAUAAGUAAUUUUACUUCUUUAAGAUUACAUGGUUUUCUGAAUUUCUUGGGCUUCCAGCUUCCUCCCGUCAAGAUGAAAUCUCGUUGUAUGGCAAGGACCCUACCCUUCAUCCUGGUGGUGUUUGGCUAGGCUUCAGCAAUCAAAGGAACUAGGAUCGCUUUGCAUCUGGACGACGGUGACACUGAGGUGCUAGCCACACAGAUCGUUCAAGCACAUCAGAAUAACCUACAACGGGUUUCAGUAUUCUACCAAAUCAUGGCCCUUGAGCAGAAAUAAAUAUAAAACGAGAGAAGAUGCCAGGCACCGAAUAUGGAGGCAUCAUGAUACAUCAUUGGUCAUUUCCAUCUUUUAUGUGUGAUUUUUGAUUGUCGUUGUCAUUCUCAGUGUAUAGCUUAUCCGCUGACAUGUGUUAUCAUUAAAAACCUUUAUUUUAGGUGUACUCUUUCAUUGACAAACCCUUAAAGGUUUCCAACCGUAGUUUCUUCUGCUGAACUUUCAUGUUGUGUGGAUUGUUGCAACGAGAUUCUCCGACAGGUGUCACCGCCUCCAUCAGAGUUUUGUAGAGUGUUAUAUGUACAAGCAGCCGGAGAUGAGAGGAAAAUGCACUGCAUGAAGAGGAAUUGGGUUCAUUGGAGCUCGGGAGAAGGAUGAUGUGUCAUGGUCAAGCAUAUAAUCUGGUCAUCUUCUUGCCACGUGCAGGGGGGGCUUGAUGUCAAGAUACCUUACCGAGGUGCAGACUUUUGUAGCAACACACAUACGUUGACACAAGGAUACACGACGUGGUACAUUUUAAUCAAAAUCUGUAUGUAUCUUAGCAGCACAUAUGUCACUUGAGAUUUGAGGAAUUUUUUUGUGGUCACAUAGUGGGAAAUGGUAGGUGCGUCAUGUUUGGCAUUCAUAGUUGUAAAGCAGUCAACUAUUUGAGUAAUUUAUCUUCAUAUAAUUGUUUAUGCA